rnacentral:piRNA from 1 species
UCAUGUCACAUUAACCCUCUGUAUGGAUGG